rnacentral:rRNA from 1 species
UACGAAGGGGGCUAGCGUUGCUCGGAUUUACUGGGCGUAAAGCGCACGUAGGCGGCUCUUUAAGUCAGGGGUGAAAUCCCGAGGCUCAACCUCGGAACUGCCUUUGAUACUGGAGAUCUUGAGUUCGGGAGAGGUGAGUGGAACUGCGAGUGUAGAGGUGAAAUUCGUAGAUAUUCGCAAGAACACCAGUGGCGAAGGCGGCUCACUGGCCCGAUACUGACGCUGAGGUGCGAAAGCGUGGGGAGCAAACAGG